CAUAUGCAGUGUAACUUACAAUUAAAGCAUCACAACCAAGAGGUUGAUGAUAUUUUGCUGCCAAAACACCAAGGGAACAAAGUCUAACUUUAGAUUGAUUUGUUGUCCCAGGCAGGCGGCUACUACCUUGAGCAAUCAGGGCGAGGCGAUACCGCGAGAAGGUAAUGUUGUGAUUUAUGAACUCUGGCAAUCACGUUAGCAAUGGUGCCAGGGCGAUGAAACUAGCUGACAAGCUAGCAUCAAGUCAGUUUCAGCACGCCCCACAAGUCGGAUCCCACCUUCAGAGCCCACCUUCGUCAUCGUCUUCCUCCAGCGAUCGGCACUUGGACAUCACCUUCCUCCAAUAGUUGCAAGUGCCCCAGUUUCCUCUGUUGACUCUCCUCGACUGUUAUCGGCUCCGUCAAGCAAUCACACCACCUCCAGUAAGUAAUAUGUGCAUCAAAUUAUCUCCAGCAUGUAUCACCUGCACCAAUUUAGAUAAUUUGCACGGUUCCUGUAUAUGGCAUUGAUGAAUUCGUUACUAAUCAUGGAUCAAUGGAUUGGGUUGCUUACCAUGAUGAAACCAAUUGAGGAAGUACAGAAGAACAGACGGACAAGCAGAGAGCAAACUUCAAACAUCUGCGAGAUGCANNN
rnacentral:lncRNA from 1 species